AUUACUUUUUUGGGGACCAUAAAGUUAUAAUUUUACUUUCACAAUCGAUUAUUACUCUAUACUUUUAUAACCAAUCCAUGCCUAAUUCACAUCAAAACCUAAAAAAUCUAACAACAUUAUAUUCACAAAUACUUCUAUCCCUAAAGCCUUUAUCUUACAAUCUUUAUAUAUACAGUGAGCUUCUAAAAAUCCCCUAGAGGGAGUUUCUAUCGUUAAUAUUUCUGCUAAAGGUUCUGACUUAAUGUCAAGCUUACAAGCAAAUGCACAGGAAAUAAAAAAGUGAGUAGAAACUGUAUCGAUCACUGCCUUGGCAAAGGUGUCAUGAAUAGAAAGCAUACCCUGUAUAAGAAUAGGAGUGGGGAAAACACCAGGUUCAUCCAUGUGGUACACACGACCUUGUGCUACACGCAUGGCCACAUCUUUCAGUCACUGGGGGCAAUCUUUAAUAAGAUGUUAGGUGCUUUAACACCGAUAGCAGGCGUGAUUGAUACAUCGACAGGAUAGGUCACCAUGCAAGCAACCACAAUGUUGACAGGGUUGAGUAGGUCGGGCAGGCUGACCCAUAGGUGGAGGUAAAGUAGGGGGUAGGGUAACUCUAGUUCAUUUAUUGGGAUGGCUACUUACUGGGUUAGGCAAUCUCCUUUUAAGCUAUUAGGGUUGUUGUUGUUGGGUAUGGACUCGGGCAAUGCAUUAGUGUCUGGCCAGAAUGAGUUCUUCGACCAACUGGGCAUGUUCUAACACCUCUGUAUAUGAGCUGAGUCUCAUAGAUGUCAGCACAAAGGCCCUUUAGAAACUUCCUACCUUUUUAACUUUUAGGGGUGACCAUUAGAGGGGCAAACCUAGACAAUUGGACAAAACAGGCAGCAUAUUGGGCAACCGUUAGAUUUUCUUGGUAGAGAUCCUGAAAUUCCUCCUUCUUCUUUUCUCAGACUUAGGCAGGGAAGAACUAAUCAAAUAAUGCAUCCAUGAAAACUUCCCAGGUGGUAAGGAUAGGUAGGACUUCCUUCUUAAGUUGCCACCAGUGUUCUGCUUCAUCGUUUAGCGUAAAGGCUGCUAGGAGAACCUUAUAUUCCUCAGUCAAGUCUAAGAUAGAGAAAAGCUUUUGUAUCUAUAGGAUCUAGGCUUUGGCAAUUAAGGGGUCAGGGCCACCUUCGAAAUGUGGCUAGUUAAGCUUUCUAAACUUUACUAUGUUUUGGGAAAUGGACCUUUCGGUCGUUCAGUAUUAUGGGAUAGGAGGUGGACAAGGGUUGGCUUGAUUUUGUCCUAUGGUUGCAGUCAAUCAUUGGAUGGCUCGGAAGAGUUUAGUAAAUUCAGUCUUGGUCGGGUGAUUCGAGGCUUCAGAUCACUUGGUACCCUCACAUCAUUUCUACAAAAGAAAUGAAGACAUGAGUGGGUGGUCUAAUUUUUCAAAAGAGGACUUAUUCUUCUUAGGUACUCUAAGGGUCUUUCUACCUAAGGCCUUAGUGUAAUCUGCUCUGAUAUCAUCUGGGACAUCCCAAUGCUAAUUAAGGCAUAUGGGUGUCAUGUAUAGAAAAAGAAUUAGGAGUGCAUGAUAAAAAUCAUAUACAAUAGAGUAAAUUAAUACAAAUCCCUUACAAAUAUACGAGUUCUAAUUACAUAUAUAACUGAGGCCAGAAGUGGCUACAAAAUACAAAAGUCAAAAUACAAAAAAGGGACACUUCUUUCACUAUUCUAUUGGAUUCAUCAGCGUGCGGGAAUGAUCAUACACUCAAGUUUUAUAGAUCACAGGAUCCUCAUAAACUUCAAUGGGUAGAUCAACUAGUUCUUAAUCAUUUUCUUCCUCAUUUAGGGGGGAGGGGACAUGGAAAAAGUGAGUUCCAUAUGCUCAGUAAGAAAAACAACAUUUAAAUAAUAUCGUAAGCUUUUAAAGGUGAAUUAUUCUUACAUAAAUACUU
rnacentral:lncRNA from 1 species